GCAAUCUUUGUCUUUCAGCAUCACAAGGACACCUCCCUAGCCACAGGCCACAGACCCUGAUCUCACCAGCAGUCAGAUCAGGCACCAAGACAUCCGUGCCCACAUGCUCCAGCCAGGACUGCUUGCAAAGACAGGAGGAUGAGUGACACAAGUUAACAAGUCAUCACAUCUCACAUCUUUUGAGUUCCUCUUAGACUGGGUGUUUUGAGAAGCUGUAAGGAGUGCUGUGUUCUUGAUGAUCUUCUAGCCUAGGUGUCACCAACGCCUGCCACUCCUGUCCUUCUGCCACAUCCUCUGGUGCCUUUCAUGCCCAUUCAUACCACUCUCAAUGUUUCUGUUAAAUGUCUACAAUAUCUCUGGCUAAGGCACAGUCCCAGCCCCCACACCUUACAUCACUAUCCUUGGAAGAUCCUAUAAUAAAGGACAGACAUUUAAAAUGUGCUGCAUAUUUAGCUAAAGAAAAGCUGUUUCACUCCCUGGUGAUUCUUACGACUGUAAGAAGCAUGUUCUGGCUGCAUGGUAACCCGGUGCAGAGAGUUUGUCAACAGGACUUUGGUCACCAAGAGACAAGUGGAUGUGUAGAAAACCUCUCCCUCGGCAGAUCGCUGUCAAAUCUGGACUAUAGGCCACAGUGGUUGCCUGGCUGGAAGCUGGGCUGA
rnacentral:lncRNA from 1 species